AAUGCUAGUUGUUGCUCCGUCCAAGUCGUCUUCAAUGCUUUGCACCUACCCACAAACCACAAAACCAUCAAAACAGAGAAGGAAAGGAACUCAAAAACCCAUUAGCCGAACCUCUCUAAACCACUCCCCCCUGUUCUUCCUUCACUCGAGUGAAUCUCCUCUCCGCUGUGGACACCGUUGCCGCCGCUGUGGGUCUCCACAUUCACCGAAGGAAGUUCUAGGAAAAAUGGUUAAGGAGAAAUUGAAGGAUGGUGGUAGUAAUGAUCAGAGAGCUGAUUGGAAAGACCCUAAGGAACUACAAGCCUUUUGUCAAUUAUGUGCUGCUCAAGUCCUAGCCGGCCAGAGGAAAGGAGGGUUUCUAACCAAAGUUGGGGUUGACAACGUGAUUGAACAGUUGGGUAACAUGGGGAAAGUGGUGACUCCACUUCAGAUUAAGAAUAAAUGGGAUCAUCUGAAAAAAGGGUGGAGGGAUUAUAACCAGUGUUUUGACAAUGAGACUGGGUUGGGUUAUGACCCGGGAACUGGGAUGCUUCAGGCCCCUGAUGAGUGGUGAACUCGAAAGAUUGCGGAAUGUCCCCUUGCAAAAACCUUUAAAAAUAAAGGUUUGCCGAAUCAUGACUUCAAAAACAUCAUGUAUGGAGGCACGGUUGCAACAGGGAAAAAUGCGUUUUGCACGAGCGGUCAAUUACCAAAGGAAACCACCGAAGGUUCUGGGGACUCUGCUGAUAGCACAGAAUUUGUUGACCCCCAAUGUGAACCGUUUGUGAAUGUUGACACAAUGGAGGUUGAAGGUCCAUCAUUGUCGAGGGCAGAACCAGCAGUGAGUAAGGGGAAAGGCUUGGCAACCAAUGUCCACCUUUUCAAGCCAAUGUACAAGAAAUAAUAAAAAAAGCCUUCAGUUGCGCAAGAGAUGUCCGACUCUUUGAAGAGCAUCUCAAAUGUGAUUGUUCAGAGUAGAAGUGGAAGUACACAUAAGGAUAUUGCUUCCACAGCAACUACUCAAGUUAAAGCCAUUUUGGACAUGGUGUUGAGUCUUCCAGGGGUGUACUCGGGGCAUUACCUUCAUCUGUUUAGCACCAUCUACUUCAUGGAAAAAGAGUGGGGUAGGCACAUGUUUCUUGCCCUUGGCGAUGACAAGGAUAUCCAAUUGAAGUGGCUAGAAAAAGAGUACCAAAGGCACCCUGAAUUCCAUUUUGACUAAAGGAAAGAAAAUUGUCUCGAUAGGAACACGGGCUUGGUGUAGUAAUCGUAUUUUCAGCGUUGUACUUGUUGGACGAUUGUUUUUUUUUUUUUUUUUUUUUUUUUUUUUAUUGGUAGAACUAAAGCUUACCAUGGCUGUGUAUGUAAGACAAAAUUUAUCAUUUCUAUGUCAACUUUUGGGUAUAUUUAUAUAUGUUUUCCCAAUGCCUCUUUUAGCUA